GGGAAACGGCAGUUUGGACACACUGAACAUAUUCUCUUCGAAUGCGAAACCUCUUUUAGAUACGCAGAAUUUGGCUCUGGCCACGAAUUUUGAAUUCCCAUGGACAGUGAUGCACACACUUUUGCUGUGGAAAGGCUGUGCUGCAGGUGUUCGGGGGCCGACGGAGAGCUUGCAGAAUGAAUCAGAGGUUUAUUAAACAGCAGCCAAAACCAGAGGAGAGGAGAUGAGAUGAGAAGCGAACAGAAAUUGGGAAGACGAGAUGAAAGAAUCUGUAACGCAGAUGGAAGCUGUACUCGUGUGACUAGAAACCAUCUGUCCAGGGAUUUUACCAAGAUGGCCACCGAGUGAAGAGACUUGCUUCAAAUUUGGAAUUUGGUUAUAGUCUCUUUUUCUGUCAAUACACUAUUAGCAUGAAACGUAUUACCAGUAUGAUGGCAAUUUUAUAAGCUUGUAUCACCUUUUAAAAUACAAGCAAAACAACAAGGUACUUUUUAUGUGGUGCUGGAGAACAUGAAAAAAAAGGAGCAUCGCUCUCUCUCUGUCUCUGCAGUCAUUUGUCAUUGCCGUCGGUUUGAUUGACAGCUGGUAUGGAUGAAUGAGAGCUCUUCCUGUCCACCCACCAAUCAGCCACCUCCUCCAAGCCCUCAACAUGAUGGCCGAGGGUCGGAGCCUGAGGUCCUUCCACCCGUCUCACAGCAGACCAUCCAUCUGCCUGUCCGCGGCCACCACUAAUCAAAGCUGCCAGAGGGGCGGCCCCAUAAAGCUCUUCACGAGGAGAAUGCAUUUUGUUUGUGUGUGAGACAAAUGAGAAUUAAUGUACUUCACAUCAAAAUUAAUAAACGUAACAUACUGACAUACUGAUUUGUUUUACCCAUGUGCAUGCAUAAAGAAUUAUGUUGUAUCUCAGCGCAACACAACUAGAGAUACAUGGAGAUUUUUGGGGAUCAUCAGUUAUUUCAUUAGCGCACUCACAGGCAAUUAUAACUGAAAAACAAUGAAUCAUCACAUUUUCAUUAAGAGCACUGCUCUAUCUAUCUAUCUAUCUAUCUAUCUAUCUAUCUA